rnacentral:rRNA from 1 species
CCUACGGGCGGCAGCAGUGGGGAAUAUUGGGCAAUGGGCGCAAGCCUGACCCAGCAACGCCGCGUGAAGGAAGAAGGCUUUCGGGUUGUAAACUUCUUUUCUCAGGGACGAAGAAAGUGACGGUACCGGAGGAAUAAGCCACGGCUAACUACGUGCCAGCAGCCGCGGUAAUACGGAGGUGGCAAGCGUUAUCCGGAUUUAUUGGGUGUAAAGGGCGUGUAGGCGGGAGCGCAAGUCAGAUGUGAAAACUCAGGGCUCAACCCUGAGCCUGCAUUUGAAACUGUGUUUCUUGAGUGCUGGAGAGGAAAUCGGAAUUCAGUGUGUAGCGGUGAAAUGCGUAGAUAUACGGAGGAACACCAGUGGCGAAGGCGGAUUGCUGGACAGUAACUGACGCUGAGGCGCGAAAGCGUGGGGAGCAAACAGGAUUAGAUACCCUAGUAGUC